rnacentral:ncRNA from 1 species
AAAAAAGCUAUGACAAGGAAGAGUAAACAAUCAACUGUUUUUAGAGAGGGGAAUUCAUAGGCUGAAAUAUUCCUCAAGCGAGAGUUGUUGAAAACCACCUUUGAGUUGUAUAUUGAAGCUUAAACAGUAGAUAUUUCCGCAGGUCUGCGUUAAGGAUUUUAGAGAUGGCAGUAAUUUAAUUGUAUCAUGUAUUUACAGUUAUUAUUGAUGUAUGUAACAUAUAUAGAGGGGAAUGUAUGUUCUGCAUUCUUUUGACAUUGCUGCUAAUUUGGGUGGAAACACGAUAAAACUCGUCCCAUAA